GCGAGGCCGCCUGCAGCCACGGUGAGGGGCACGUGGAGACGACAGCGCCCAGGUGGAGCCGGCUGGGCCCGAGAGGAGAGGCGGGAAGGCGACGCCCCGAAGGUGGAGCGCGUGGAGCCGAAAUGAUGGUGCUGGGAUCGGACACAGGCGAUGGCAUCGUGGAGAGCUGGUUUACUGAACCCAAACGUGCCAAGGCGUCAUUAAGAGACCGGGGCAGCAAGAAAGUCAGCGGGAAGAG